GACUUAGGAGGAAGCCUGAGAGUCUGUGGACCCAUCAGAAGUGAAUCCCUCUUUGGAUUCCAGCAGUGAGCAGAGUGGAUCUUGUGUCUGGCCAGCACAGAAGAUGCUCACUGUCUUCAUGGGCCCCUUCCUGUAGAAGUUUUGCUUACAGCCAAACUCCUGCUUGAUUUCCAUUUCUCCAAUCCAGCACUGGACUAAACUUCUGAUGUCUCUGAGCCAUGUUACAGGCUCUGCCCUGUGUUCACUGUCUUAGGCUGCCUGCAGCCUGGAAGACAGUUAACUUCAUGUAAAAGAAAGCCACCCCUUUAUCAGGGGUGUGUUUUACCUUGAAAAGUCCCCCCCCAGACUCGUGUGCUGUGUUCCAUACAUGACGUAUACCACACAAGUGAUGUUUGUGGCAUGACACCAGCCCCAAACAAUUUAUCUCUAGCAACUCACCACAUCAGGCUGUGAAGUCAGUGAGCACUUCCACAAUUAGUAUGUGUGAUCAGCACCCCUGACAGGAGGUUCAACUCUGUACCCGCAGCCUUUGCUUGGGAGUUGUUGUUUUAAGCUUUUAUAGAAAGAAAAGGCAGUAUCUGUAAACGAUACAGAUCUUUGUGUGGCUGCCUAGGCAUAAUGUUUUGCACUGUUUCUGUACGAUCUUGAGUCUCUUACAUUAAUCCAAACCUAAUCACGGAAGCAGCUACGAAUUGAUGGCCGUUCUGGUGAAACCUCUCUUUUUCCCCGAAGAAAAAGAAAACAAGCAAACAGAACCUUCAAAGAAACCAGCAUUUUCAAAGAGACAGGACUUCUGUUUGUGCAGGCGUCAAUGUUGCUCCAUCGUCUUGCUCAGCACGGGUAAACCCAGACAGCCUGAGAAGAGCUCUUAAGGCAAUACUUAGGAAAAAUAGGCCAGAGCUGAAAAUGUUAGGAUGAGAACGAGCAGAUGAGUAACACACAGCUAGGUUAUUUGACAUAACCAGUGAGAUUAUUUACUGCUCUCAGUUCUGCCCAGAGCACUGGUGAUGUUUGGAAGCAAUUCGCUAUCAGCUGCAGGUAAGCAGCAGCUCAUGCCUCGCUGGGCCUGAAAGCAACAAGGACGAUGGAGGUUGAGAUGUCGGCGGCGUCUGAACCGCCGCUGUUUACUGCAGACAAAAUCGUCUCGGAGAAGCACCAUGAUCCGAGCAUGGAACCGGAUUCCAGGACCGUCUGAGCACUAAAUAUAGCGGCCGUGCUAACUCAGCGGCUCUGGGCGCAGCAGAUAACAUCCUGCUUCGGGACGGCUCGCAGGAGUCAGGCGAGGGGAGGUGUGAAAUUCAAUCCCUGUCAGGGCACUGGCAAGCAGUUCUUGGGCAUCCUGGGAUCUCUUUUCACUGUCUUGGUUUAUAUCUUUUUGAAAUGUUUGAGAGAACAAUAAAAAGAUUAGGAAAAAUUAAAGGACAUAUUUUGGUAUCAGUGGGCUAAACUCUUCCUUCAUCUACACAUAGUAUCUUCCAACAGGCCUCCGUCAUGUUUGCUAAAGCUUCUGAACACGGAAAACAUCACAAGUGUUAAAUAUCAGACCUUUGUUUGUUUGUUGUUUUAAUAAAAACACCCAAGGACUAUUAGGCGUGUUGGGGAAGAGCUGCUUCUGGCAGGGGAAUAGAGAGGGUGCGCCUACAAACCCAGUAAGCCCUGGGUAGCUCACACCACAACGUUCCCGUGC
rnacentral:lncRNA from 1 species